rnacentral:lncRNA from 1 species
AGUGCAGUGGGCGCGGACUUGGGGUCGUGCUGGGUGGGGGAGAGGGAAAAUACAGUGUUAUUAGUUCAGGAAGAACGGACAGUAAAAUGAAGCAGCGAGGAAUUGGAAGAUGGAUUAAGGAGCCUUGCAGUGAAGAAAGCGACGAGUAGAAGAACUUUUGACGAAGCAACAAGUGGCGACCAAAUUGCCGAAAGGAAUAGAAUACUCCAUGAUGCAACACUGCACAGCUCUCUUCUCCGAGUGACUGUGAAAUCGAACCUCGAAUAAUGAUGUCUCAAAGAGCCUGUCAUUACCCUGUGGUGCUCGCCAGACUCCCCAGCAUGUUUGCUCAUCCUGCGCAGCUUUUGGAGAGAAGAGGUUUUGACCAUGACAUGUCACAAUCUUGGGAUGAGCUGCGUAGAGGGGGGGGGGG